ACUUAGCACCUUUCGUGGAUAACAGGAUGGUACCAAACUGUUAUACUACCAGGACAGUUCUUUAAGGGUCCUGCAGUUCUGGCUUGCUCAUCCUCCCCGCUUUGCUACCUGUGCCAUGCUGUAUGUUUCCUCAGCAGCUCUGAGGAGAGUCCAGGCAGAGUGUGUGCACAAACAAUUCCAAGAGAGACAAGUAGCUCCCAAAGUGCCUGACAGAUGUGGUUUUUUAAAAAAGUUUAAUAUUACAGUCAGGAGGCAGCGGCUGGAAGAUACUCGGCUCUUUCCCCCAAGUCCAGGUUCAGUGCAUUGGCCCCCACACAGCACCCCAGACCCCUGCCUGGGCAGGGAGGCCCCAUGCUCAGUCCAGCUUCUCCAGCACGGAGGGCACAUACACCAGGCUGAGCUCACUGCCAAAGUUGCAGACAAUGGCAGCGUUGUCCAGCACCAGGAUCUGGCGGGCAGGCUGGGCCUCACUGUUCUUCCCCAGGUAGACUGUCUGUAACAGGUCCCCGUAGUUUAGGUCCCAAAAGGAGACACAGCCUUGGCCGCCGGUCACCAGCAGGUUGUCUGAGAUGACACCCAAGCUUGCACCACAGCCCAGAUCCUGGAGGCAAGGACAUGACAAGCUCAGUCCUGAGUCCUUCCCUAAAGUCCCAAGAAUCCUAUGAUCCCCACCCCCUCUACCUGCUGAAUGGAGUAGAACUUGAUGCCUGUGCUGCGGUCCCAGAUGCUGAUGAGGUCAUCCAGGCCACUGCUGAUGACACAGGAGGUGGUACAGGCCCCUCACCUGGUCAAUGUACACAGUCGUGAUGGCCCCUGAGUGGCCCUGAAGGGUGAAGAGGCAGCACGAGUCCUCCAGACGGAAUACCUGUGACAGGGAUGGACGGCAGGUUCUGGUCUCUGGGAUUUUCCAAGUUAUACUUUGGCUGGGAAAUGCCCUCUGUCCUUCACCAGGACUCCUCCAGCCUCUCCCUGACGAACGCAUCAGGCUCCCACCCUGCGCCAGGCCACUCCAGCACCCAAGAGAUGAGACAAUACUCACUCUCAGCGUGUGGUCUUGACUCCCAGUCACCAAGCGCCCGGCAGCGGCUUUCAGGGCUGUGAUGGGUUUUUGGUGUGCACAGGGCACUGUGUGGGUCAGGCGACAGGCCACUGUGUCACUGCUGCUGUACACUGGAGAGGCAGGGGAACUGCCCCGCCCUGGGGUCCCUGAGGACAAAAGGCCAAGUGAAGGAUCUCUGAGAAGGCAAUGGGCAGACAGCCCCUGCACAUCCCACCAAGUGUGAACACCUGCCCACCCCAGGCCCUCUGACCUCUAAACUGCAGGGGGCUGAGGGCAGUGUGGGUCUCCAAGGAGAAGAAAUCAAGGGAACCGUUGAGUCGCGCAGCCACAAUCCUGGAAGAGAAGAACAGCUGCCAGGGGCCUCUCCCUUAGAGCCCCAGGAGAGCCCCAAUCCUGGGGCUGAGUAUGUGGGCACAAGAGAGAUAAAGGGCCAGUUCAAGAAGGGACAGGAGGGACAUGGCCAAGAGGAAAGCACAUGGUACCAGAACAGAUGCUGGAACCAGAGGGCAACUCCAAAUAUUAACCUCCUUGUGCCUCAGUUUGUCUGCAAAAUAGGGAUAAGAGUACCCACCUCACAUAAUGGUCAUGAGAAUCAAGUGAGCUAACGUGUAAGGUGGUACCUGGUGAAUGUCACAUAAGUUUGUAAAUUAAAAACAAGCAGAGGGCUCCAUGUAGCCUGGAGCUGAAGGGAAGGCUGCUGAGGGGAAACAGGAUGCAGAGUGGGCUAUGUUGGGCAUUGUGGAAGCCUGCAUUCUCCAUCACAUAAAAGCAGCUUCAACCCAA